ACCCUCUCAGGGUCACAGCUGGAGAGUUUCUGGUCCUCUACCAGUUUCGACUACAGGAGGGAGAGUGAAGCAGGGGCCUACCCAUUCCAUCCCUAGCUUAGGCAGUAGCUAGCGAGUGGAAGACAACCUGCUACAAGU